rnacentral:rRNA from 1 species
UGCCAGCAGCCGCGGUAAUACGUAAGUCGCAAGCGUUAUCCGGAAUUACUGGGCGUAAAGCGCGCGUAGGCGGUUGUCUAAGCUAGAUGUGAAAGCCCUGGGCUCAACCUGGGAACUGCAUUUAGAACUGGGCAACUAGAGUCUUGGAGAGGGGAGUGGAAUUCCAGGUGUAGCGGUGAAAUGCGUAGAUAUCUGGAGGAGCAUCAGUGGCGAAGGCGGCUCCCUGGCCAAAGACUGACGCUCAUGUGCGAAAGUGUGGGUAGCAAACAGGAUUAGAUA